AAACAAAGAAAAAGGAAGAACAAAAGGAGGAAAGGAAAAAAAAAAGAAACCUACAUGGGAAAAUUAAAGGAAAAUUGGUGGAUUUCAAGGAAUCAAGCAAUCAAAAGUAAAAUCUCUUGAUUUUGACUUGUGAUCUACCUUUCCCAUGCAUUUCUCCUUAUUUUCCAUGGUUAGAUUUCAUGUUUUCAUGGUGAAUUCAUGGCUGCCCAAAUGGGUAUGGAGAGAGAAUGAAGUUAGAUUAAUUUGAUUUUAAGUUAUGUUAGUGUUUUUAGUUAGUUUAGCAUAUUUAAAAACAAAGCAACAAGAAAAGAAUUCAUUUUCCUCCAUUACCAUUAUUGGCCAAAUUUUCUAGGGAAAUAUUGGCUGUUGAUCUUGAUGUUUAUUUGAGGAAUUAUGAUGAAUAAUGAUGAAUUAUGAGCCUAGAAAAAUAAUGGGAAUUUUCAGAGCAAAAAUAUGAAUUUUUACCCACAAAGGGUAUUUUCGUAAUUUGCUAUCGUGACUGAUAAUUUGCACCACACUGAGGAACAUUAAGUCAAUUUGGGUGCAAUUGAGGUAUAGAAACUGAAAACAAUUAAUUUGGAGUUUAAAUGGAGGCGUAUAUCGAUUUAUCGGGUAAAAGAUCGAAAUAGGCAAACAUCUCGUUUAGGCAAAAUUUAGACAUUUUGCACUUCAUAUCAUGCAUUAGUAGUAUAAAUUAGUUUAUUUUGAUUUAGUACCAAAGUAGUAAACCUCUUAAUUGUGCAAUUUGUCAAAGUGGCGAAUCCUCUAGCAAGGGCAAAAAAAUCGCACCCGAUGAAUAAUAGUUGGAGUACCCGAAUUUAGUUUUCAAAAACUGUGAGUAAACUUAUUAUCGUCUUAAUUAUCUAAAGUAGUUUUAUACAGUUAUGUGAUUUUAUGAAAAAUGGGUUUAAAUGGUAAAUCGCUAUGUUUUAAGAGAAAUUGUGAUUUUAUAAAAUGAUUUUAUAAAUUUUCUGGAAACUCAAAUGCUGGUUUUGAAAAUACAGUAAUUGGAGACUGCCUGCUUGUGUUGUAAAUUUAUGGUUUUAAAUUGAAUGGCUUAUGACAAUAAAUGAGCAUGAAUGGCUAAACUGAUUUUGGUGUUAGAAUUAUUUAUACUGUGUAUUUAGCCUUGAAAGGCUAGGUUGUGAUAAAUUGCUAUGUCAUGUAGAAAAGAUUUUAUAAAUCAGGUGGUAGAUAAAAGAUUAGCUACUGCAGUGGUGGGGGGUUCCAUGGGCCAGCCUAUUAGAGGGGCAUGGUAAACUCCUUUAUAUUCUCACCUCGGUCGUAGAGGCGCGUAGGGUAUCUCCUGAGGUGGGCUUUUUGAGUGCACUUCACGUGGACCACCGCGUGAGAGUGAGACUCAGCCAACGUCAAGAAACGGCUAUGUUUCAAAAUAUAAAUAUGAUUUAUGCGAAAUAUGAAUUUUUAACAGCCUUUGCAGACUCGGUUGGAUACCCCUAGUCCAGGUGUCCUCGAGUACAGGAUUUGGCAUGAGCCAAGUUUUGAGUAAUUCACGAGCCAUAUUGAUUAUUUGGUUGAAAUGAAUAUUCGUGAUGUGAAAAAUUUGCUGAAGUUAAUUAUUUUUAAUUGUCUCCAUUUAUUCGCCUUUAGAUAAUUUAAAUAGUGUCUGUUUACUCACUAGGAUUUUAUAAUCUCACCACCCUCAAUUCUCCAUAUUUCAGGUUCGGGAUAACUGGUAGAUAGCCAAUUGCAUCAAGGACUUCAGUUAGCCUUGCAUUGUCAAAAUUAUAGGUUCACAAACUCACAUCUUAUUGGUUAGUUGGGGGCCCACGUGUCAUUGUAAAAGUAA
rnacentral:lncRNA from 1 species